CUCUUGGAUCAUCUUACUGGAUUCUGUGGAUUCUUUUGAUUGGUUUCAACUUUCUCCUGAAUCUUGAUGACUUUGCUUGCCAUCCAGCAUUUGAAUUUUAUGCCUGUCAUUUUAGCCAUUUUAGAAUGGUUAAGAACUAUUGCUGGGGAGCUAGUGGACUCAUUUGGAGCAAUUAAACUCAACACAUGUAAUACCUGCAAAGCAGAUAACCCAAUUGAAGUGAUGAGGAUAUGAACAACUGAUCAAGUUUCCUCAUCUUGGCUGCAACCUGAUUGAAAGAGACUGUAAGAAGCCAUUGACUGUAAGAUGAAUUUUCUAAUUUCAAAAAGAUUAAAAUGUGUCUAGAGACAAUAGAUGAAAGAUUUGUUUUUGUAGUUAUUUGAGUCCAGAGUCCAACUCCAUUUAACUCAAAUAUGCUGAUUUUUUUCAAGAAUGCAAAUAUACUACGUAAAUUGCGAUAAGAUUACCCUUUGCUUUGUUCAGUCUCUUUAGGUUUGAGUCUUUUAGGUCACAUACCUAUAACUGCAUUAGGAGCUACUAUAUUCGACGUGAUUCUUCAUAUAGUUGCA
rnacentral:lncRNA from 1 species